CAAGGAGACAGGUGGUGCAUGGUUGUCGUCAGCUCGUGUCGUGAGAUGUUGGGUAAGUCCCGCAACGAGCGCAACCCCUGUUGUUAGUUGCCAGCAUUAAGUUGGGCACUCUAGCGAGACUGCCGGUGACAAAUCGGAGGAAGGUGGGGACGACGUCAAAUCAUCAUGCCCCUUAUGUCCUGGGCGACACACGUACUACAAUGGCUGUUACAGAGGGCAGCGAGACCGCGAGGUGGAGCAAAUCCCUAAAAGCAGCCCCAGUUCGGAUUGCAGGCUGAAACUCGCCUGCAUGAAGUCGGAAUUGCUAGUAAUGGCAGGUCAGCAUACUGCCGUGAAUACGUUCCCGGGCCUUGUACACACCGCCCGUCACACCAUGGGAGUUCAGGUGCUCUAGAAGUCGGUGCGCCAACCUCGGAGGCAGCCGCCUAAAGAGUGACUGGUGACUGGGGUG
rnacentral:rRNA from 1 species